AAGACCUUGCGCUUUUGGAGCGGCCGAUGCCUGAUUAGCUAGUUGGUGGGGUAAUGGCCUACCAAAGCUUCGAUCAGUAGCUGGUCUGAGAGGACGGCCAGCCACACUGGGACUGAGACACGGCCCAGACUCCUACGGGAGGCAGCAGUGGGGAAUUUUGGACAAUGGGCGCAAGCCUGAUCCAGCCAUGCCGCGUGAGUGAAGAAGGCCUUCGGGUUGUAAAGCUCUUUCAGCCGGAACGAAACGGUUACGGUUAACACCCGUGAYUACUGACGGUACCGGAAGAAGAAGCACCGGCUAACUACGUGCCAGCAGCCGCGGUAAUACGUAGGGUGCGAGCGUUAAUCGGAAUUACUGGGCGUAAAGCGUGCGCAGGUGGUUUUGUAAGUCAGAUGUGAAAGCCCCGGGCUCAACCUGGGAACU
rnacentral:rRNA from 1 species